CAGUCGCCGCGGUAAGACAGAGGAUGCAAGCGUUAUCCGGAAUGAUUGGGCGUAAAGCGUCUGUAGGUGGCUUUUCAAGUCCGCCGUCAAAUCCCAGGGCUCAACCCUGGACAGGCGGUGGAAACUACCAAGCUGGAGUACGGUAGGGGCAGAGGGAAUUUCCGGUGGAGCGGUGAAAUGCGUAGAUAUUAGGAAGAACACCGGUGGCGAAGGCGACUUUCUGGACGAAAACUGACGCUGAGGCGCGAAAGCGUGGGGAGCAAACAGGAUUAGAUACCCCUGUAGUCCCUGUCUCUUAUAC
rnacentral:rRNA from 1 species